rnacentral:rRNA from 1 species
UGGGGAAUAUUGCACAAUGGAGGGAACUCUGAUGCAGCGACGCCGCGUGAGUGAUGAAGGAAUUCGUUUCGUAAAACUCUGUUCUAUGGGAAGAAAAGGACUGUACCAUAGGAGAAAGCUCCGGCUAAAUACGUGCCAGCAGCCGCGGUAAUACGUAUGGAGCGAGCGUUGUCCGGAAUUAUUGGGCGUAAAGGGUGCGCAGGCGGCUUUACAAGUUGGAUGUGAAAUAUUGUGGCUCAACCACAAACGUGCAUCCAAGACUGCAAAGCUUGAGUUAAGGAGAGGUAAGUGGAAUUCCUGGUGUAGCGGUGGAAUGCGUAGAUAUCAGGAGGAAUACCGGUGGCGAAGGCGACUUACUGGACUUAAACUGACGCUCAGGCACGAAAGCGUGGGGAGCAAACAGG